CGUGGAGACAGGUGGUGCAUGGCUGUCGUCAGCUCGUGUCGUGAGGUGUUGGGUUAAGUCCCGCAACGAGCGCAACCCUCACCUCUUGUUGCCAUCAGGUCAUGCUGGGCACUCUAGAGGAACUGCCCCGGUCAACGGGGAGGAAGGCGGGGAUGACGUCAAGUCAUCAUGCCCCUUACGUCCUGGGCUACACACGUGCUACAAUGGCCGGUACAAAGGGAUGCCACACCGCGAGGUAGAGCUAAACCCAAAAAGCCGGUCUAAGUUCAGAUUGGAGUCUGCAACUCGACUCCAUGAAGGAGGAAUCGCUAGUAAUCGCGUAUCAGCACGACGCGGUGAAUACGUUCCCGGGCCUUGUACACACCGCCCGUCACACCACGAAAGCCUGCUGUACUCGAAGUCGCUGAG
rnacentral:rRNA from 1 species